GCCCUGGUGGUGCAAUGGGUAAGCACUUGGCUGAUAACCCAAAGGUUGGUGGUUCGAACUCACCCAGCGGCU
rnacentral:tRNA from 1 species